rnacentral:rRNA from 1 species
GACGAACGCUGGCGGCGUGCUUAACACAUGCAAGUCGAACGGAAAGGCCCUGCUUUUGUGGGGUGCUCGAGUGGCGAACGGGUGAGUAACACGUGAGUAACCUGCCCUUGACUUUGGGAUAACUUCAGGCAACUGGGGCUAAUACCGGAUAGGAGCUCCUGCUGCAUGGUGGGGGUUGGAAAGUUUCGGCGGUUGGGGAUGGACUCGCGGCUUAUCAGCUUGUUGGUGGGGUAGUGGCUUACCAAGGCUUUGACGGGUAGCCGGCCUGAUAGGGUGACCGGCCACAUUGGGACGGAGAUGCGGCCCAGACUCCUACGGGAGGCAGCAGUGGGGAAUAUUGCACAAUGGGCGGAAGCCUGAUGCAGCAACGCCGCGUGCGGGAUGACGGCCUUCGGGUUGUAAACCGCUUUCGCCUGUGACGAAGCGUGAGUGACGGUAAUGGGUAAAGAAGCACCGGCUAACUACGUG